rnacentral:rRNA from 1 species
GAUGAACGCUGGCGGCGUGCCUAAUACAUGCAAGUCGAGCGAACAGAUAAGGAGCUUGCUCCUUUGAAGUUAGCGGCGGACGGGUGAGUAACACGUGGGUAACCUACCUAUAAGACUGGGAUAACUUCGGGAAACCGGAGCUAAUACCGGAUAACAUCUAGAACCGCAUGGUUCUAAAGUGAAAGAUGGUUUUGCUAUCACUUAUAGAUGGACCCGCGCCGUAUUAGCUAGUUGGUAAGGUAACGGCUUACCAAGGCGACGAUACGUAGCCGACCUGAGAGGGUGAUCGGCCACACUGGAACUGAGACACGGUCCAGACUCCUACGGGAGGCAGCAGUAGGGAAUCUUCCGCAAUGGGCGAAAGCCUGACGGAGCAACGCCGCGUGAGUGAUGAAGGGUUUCGGCUCGUAAAACUCUGUUAUUAGGGAAGAACAAAUGUGUAAGUAACUGUGCACAUCUUGACGGUACCUAAUCAGAAAGCCACGGCUAACUACGUG